CCCAAAGGACUGAAAGAAGAAAAUUUCUAUCAUCUCUAUACGGUGUUAUCCAGAAAAAAAAAGGAAAGAAAAAGAAAACAGUCAAGGUUUUUUGGUUUCUAGAUCUGGUUUGUCUCCCCCCGAUCUCCAUCAUCUGGCUCUUCGAUCUGCUGGACGAGAUGAUCAGUCCUCAUGGAUCGAAUGACUUCAAGUUCGUUUCAGAUUGAAUUGUCCUUGGUCCUUACCGCUACAAGACACUGAUUUGGAGCGACGAAGUUGCAUGCAAUCUCAGCUCUCUCUCGAUCCUUCUUCCUCACACCAGUUUAAGCCUGUCCUUACUGGAAGUCCCAUGGGGUUUGGAAGGUUUACUAAUCCAACUGGUUAUGCAGUGAAUGCCCCUGGUGUAGUUGGAGCUGCCAUUGAGCUAGUUUUUGACUAGAAAUCAAAUGCAGAAUCACUAGGUCUAAGGCAAUUUCUUGAUUGUGGUGAACAUGAAAUUUGAUGGAGAGCUUAUAUAUUUGACAACCCAUCGGCGUACUUGGGCUCAUGGAAUUUUUGGUUAUGUGAACAGAAUUAAAUUUCACCUCAUGGAGUGAAGUGUGGAGGGUGAUGAGGUGAAUAUAAUUGUCAAAGUCAAAGGCUAAACGGCUCCAUGGAAAGCUCUCAGAAGGGAAAUACAAUCACAAGGAUAUCAUCUUGUCCUUGAUUCGUCAUCACUCUAUUUAAACUUUUAAAGGAGUUAUAAUCUGAAACAAAAAGCUGCAAGAGCUUAUGCACGAGGAGACAAAAAAAUGUUGUUCACUCAAUAAGGAGAAAGCUAUGGACUAUGUAAACUGGACUUGCAGUUCAAUGACGGAAGGAGAGAGAUGAGAAGCAAUUUCUGGUUUCAUAUGAAAGAAGACAGUAGUCAACUUUGGAGUCUUCUAAUCUAGGAGGAUUUGUAUUUAUAUAAUAUUCAAAAUAAUUAAGUUUUCCAUGAUAAUUUUUUUUUUAAAAUGAAAUAUAUUGAGUCACCAA